rnacentral:lncRNA from 1 species
UUUUGACAUACCUGACACCACAGCGAGUAGAAGAUGACGAUUCCUCUGCAUUCUCCAAACUGUUAUCCGGCAACCAACAUCUUCAAACUUCCAAAUUUUCAAUCCCCUAUAAAAUUUCUGCAAAAUUAAAGAACCCUUUACCCAAAUCAAAUAUUUCUUCUCUUCAAAGUUCUUUUACUCCACAGCAGCUUUUGAACUGGACAACUGGUAAGUAUUUUCGGUUUCGAAAUUCAAAUUUUAGUAACUUUAGUUUCUUAGAUUUUAUUACUUGGACUAUCUUUUAUAUAUAUUUGUCAUUGAUAAUUUAGUAUUGAUUAUUGAGUACGAGUUUUUGAAAAAUCCAAGGUUUUUGUUUUUGUUUUUGUUUGUAGUUUGUUGAAAUGACCAGAUGAUUUUAUUUAUUUAUUUAUUUUUAGCACUUGGGCAUUUUUUAAAUUUUCUGAUUUGAGAAUUCAAUUGAUAUUAAUUUUGACAAUAGCUUUUCACCUUAGUUAAUUAGAUUGUGAAGUAAAGGUUCAUUCUAAAUUGCAAUGCAGAAUUCCUCUUCAUCAACAUGUUUGAUUGAAUUAUUUUUGAAUUUCUAACAUGCAGUAAAUUUUUCACGGCACAAAUGCAGACUUGCGGACAUGUAGGAAAGGGAAACUGCAAAAGCUUAAAUAUACUACCUAGUAAGUAAAUGUCGUCAUCUCCCUACUUGUGGCCUUGCCGGCAAAAUAUUGAAAUUGUCGCCUACUUGUUAAAAUGUUGCCAGUCCCCUUAAUAACUUUUGUUGAUAUGUUGCCUUAUCGGUUUAAUGAUUGUUAUUAUUGCCUUGUCGGUGAAUUGGUCUAAUGGAUUAUUUUUGUUGCCUUGUCG